UACAGCCAUAUCACGUUGAAACAUUGGUUCUCGUACGAUCACCGAAGUUAAGAUGUCGAGCCCGCUCAGCUCCUUGAUGGGUGACCACUUGGCAAUACCAGGUGCUGUAA